rnacentral:rRNA from 1 species
UGAGGAAUAUUGGUCAAUGGUCGAGAGACUGAACCAGCCAAGUCGCGUGAAGGAUGACUGCCCUAUGGGUUGUAAACUUCUUUUACAAGGGAAUAAAAUGAGAUACGUGUAUUUUAUUGCAUGUACCUUGGGAAUAAGCAUCGGCUAACUCCGUGCCAGCAGCCGCGGUAAUACUGAGGAUGCGAGCGUUAUCCGGAUUUAUUGGGUUUAAAGGGUGCGUAGGUGGGCUGUUAAGUCAGCGGUGAAAGUUUGUCGCUUAACGAUAAAAUUGCCGUUGAAACUGGUAGUCUUGAGUAUAGAUGAAGUAGGCGGAAUGCGUGGUGUAGCGGUGAAAUGCAUAGAGAUCACGCAGAACUCCGAUUGCGAAGGCAGCUUACUAAGGUAUAACUGACACUGAAGCACGAAAGCGUGGGUAUCAAACAGG